CCUACGGGGGGCUGCAGUGAGGAAUAGUGGUCAAUGGGCGCGAGCCUGAACCAGCCAAGUAGCGUGAAGGAUGACUGCCCUACGGGUUGCAAACUUCUUUUAUAAAGGAAUAAAGUGAGGCACGUGUGCCGUUUUGUAUGUACUUUAUGAAUAAGGAUCGGCUAACUCCGUGCCAGCAGCCGCGGUAAUACGGAGGAUCCGAGCGUUAUCCGGAUUUAUUGGGUUUAAAGGGAGCGUAGAUGGGUUGUUAAGUCAGUGGUGAUAGUUUGCGGCUCAACCGUAAAAUUGCAAUUGAUACUGGCAGCCUUGAGUACAGUUGCGGUAGGCGGACUUCGUGGUGUCGCGG
rnacentral:rRNA from 1 species